rnacentral:rRNA from 1 species
ACGAACGCUGGCGGCAUGCCUAACACAUGCCAGUCGCACGAGACCUUCGGGUCUAGUGGCGCACGGGUGCGUAACGCGUGGGAACCUGCCCUUAGGUUCGGAAUAACUCCCCGAAAGGGGUGCUAAUACCGGAUAAUGUCUUCGGACCAAAGAUUUAUCGCCUUUGGAUGGGCCCGCGUUGGAUUAGCUAGUUGGUAGGGUAAAAGCCUACCAAGGCGACGAUCCAUAGCUGGUCUGAGAGGAUGAUCAGCCACACUGGGACUGAGACACGGCCCAGACUCCUACGGGAGGCAGCAGUGGGGAAUAUUGGACAAUGGGCGAAAGCCUGAUCCGGCAAUGCCGCGUGAGUGAUGAAGGCCUUAGGGUUGUAAAGCUCUUUUACCCGGGAUGAUAAUGACAGUACCGGGAGAAUAAGCUCCGGCUAACUCCGUG